UACGGGGGGAGCAAGCGUUGUUCGGAUUUACUGGGCGUAAAGGGCGCGUAGGCGGUCAGCACAAGUCAGUUGUGAAAUCUCCGGGCUUAACUCGGAAAGGUCAACUGAUACUGUGCGACUAGAGUGCAGAAGGGGCAACUGGAAUUCUCGGUGUAGCGGUGAAAUGCGUAGAUAUCGAGAGGAACACCGGUGGCGAAGGCGGCAUCCUGGACCAAUUCUGACGCUGAGGAGCGAAAGCCAGGGGAGCAAACGGG
rnacentral:rRNA from 1 species